UGGGGGAUAUUGCACAAUGGGCGAAAGCCUGAUGCAGCGACGCCGCGUGGGGGAUGAAGGCCUUCGGGUUGUAAACUUCUUUUGCUCUGAACAAGGCAUGCCUUUGGGGUGUGUUGAGUGUAGGGGUUGAUUAGCGCCGGCUAACUACGUGCCAGCAGCCGCGGUAAUACGUAGGGCGCGAGCGUUGUCCGGAAUUAUUGAGCGUAAAGGGCUUGUAGGUGGCUGGUUGCGUCUGUCGUGAAAGCUCAUGGCUUAACUGUGGGUUUGCGGUGGGUACGGGCUGGCUUGAGUGCAGUAGGGGAGGCUGGAAUUCCUGGUGUAGCGGUGGAAUGCGCAGAUAUCAGGAGGAAUACCGGUGGCGAAGGCGGGUCUCUGGGCUGUUACUGACGCUGAGGAGCGAAAGCGUGGGGAGCGAACAGG
rnacentral:rRNA from 1 species